CCUGCGAAACUCGAAUCGAUGACGAACGGAGAGAUUCAACGUUCGUUUCCGCGCUGCGUGCGUGCGGUCGUCUCGGACGUCCGUCGAUCGCGGUCCUUCGGGGCAGCGUCGGCGGGCGCGGAUCGUGCGUAUCGUCGCCGGGGACGGCGUGCACUUCUCUCUCAGUAAGGCAUCGCGACCCGUCCGAGGUCGGUCUGAGCGCCGUUCGGGAGACCGGCGACCUUAACUCGGUCGUCGGACCGCGACGGUGGCCGACCGGCCUUCGAACAAUAACGGACGGUAAUAAUACGAAUCGCGCACGCGCUUCGGCGCGUCAGGCCCGACGCGAGGCGUCGUCGCGUUCGAGGUUCCCGCCCGAGUGCGGACCUCGACGCUGCGCGCCUGCAUCACUAUACGGCCGCCGUGCAGUCUCUGACCGUGCGCGUAUCCGUCUGCGAUGAUUCGGUUUCGGGCACUCGCAGGACCCGUCUUGAACACCGGGACCAA
rnacentral:rRNA from 1 species